GAUCAUGGCUCAGGAUGAACGCUAGCUACAGGCUUAACACAUGCAAGGUCGAGGGGCAGCAUGAACUUAGCUGCUAAGUUGAUGGCGACCGGCGCACGGGUGAGUAACGCGUAUCCAACCUGGCCCUUAGUAGGGGAUAGCCCGGCGAAAGUCGGAUUAAUACCCUAUGUUUCCGUUGAGAGCAUUUGAAGCGGAAGAAAGAUUCAUCGCUAGGGGAUGGGGAUGCGUCCGAUUAGGCAGCAGGCGGGGUAACGGCCCACCUGGCCCCGCGACCGGUAGGGGUUCUGAGAGGAAGGUCCCCCACAUUGGAACUGAGACACGGUCCAAACUCCUACGGGAGGCAGCAGUGAGGAAUAUUGGUCAAUGGGCGCGAGCCUGAACCAGCCAAAGUAGCGUGCAGGAUGACGGCCCUAUGGGUUGUAAACUGCUUUUGCCGGGGAAUAAAGUCGGGGACGCGUCCCCGUUUGUAUGUACCCGGAGAAUAAGGACCGGCUAAUUCCGUGCCAGCCGCAGC
rnacentral:rRNA from 1 species